AUAUUUAUUGUCUCAUUAAUGAAGGAGAAUCGAAAGAAAAUUUCAAACGCAUCAUGCUAAAAACAUGUUGCAAGACUGCAGAAAUAUAUGACAUAAACUUAAUAUAUUUGGAAAAUGACAAGAGAAAAGAAAUUGAAGAUACAUUGUAUGAAAUUAAUGAAGAUGAUGCUGCAGAGAGCA